UAGAAUAUGGUGUAAUGUGGUAGCACGAAGAUUUUUGAAUUCUUAAGAGCAGGUUCAAGCCCUGUAAUUCUAG
rnacentral:tRNA from 1 species